AUGGCGUGGAGUGAAGUUAUGGCGAUGGGCUUCACCGUCUUCACCCUCUUGAUGCUUGUCAUUGCAGUCAUGGACCACCACUGGAUCUUAGUGGAGUCCAACAAGCAGGUUUACUACAGCGGCAUUUGGAAAGUCUGUAUAAAGCUGGUGUGUACUAGCAUCAUCGCCAUGUCACCCAAUGUUCAAGGAGCCAAGACACUGUUGGUCAUGGCUAUUUUUUGCGGAUUUGUUGGUGCUUCGUUUAUGACCUUCACCUACCGCUACUCUGAAAGUUUUGAGAUGUACCGCUACCAGGUUGCUGCCAUGGGAUCUUUCAUCACAGCUGCCUUGGUGUUUUUAGCUUUGAGCAUUUAUACCAUUCGCAUCUCUACACACGGAGUCAGCAGAAUAGGCAAGAUCACCUAUCAGUGGUCUUUCUACCUGGCCUGGACUACCUGUCCUUGCUUCAUUCUAAGUGGCUUAUUUGGGCUGAUAGCUCACCAGCGAUUAUUGAUCCAUGGGUCUAGUUUGACCGAUGGAGAAAGUACCAUCACCACCUCCUCCUGCACCAUCAGCUCCUUGGCUUCCUCCUCCUCCUCCUCAGAGUGGACCGCCGCCUCCUCAAACACUGUGGAGGAAGAAGGAGAAGAAGCACAACAAGAUCAGGAGCAAGAAGGAGGAGAAGGAGAAGAAGAGGGCGAGGAGGAAGAGGAGGAAGAGGAGGAAGAGGAAAAGACCAAACCGUUGGAUCAAGUUAUAAUUUCAAAGGAAGCAGUCCUGGCAUGA
rnacentral:lncRNA from 1 species